rnacentral:rRNA from 1 species
GAUGAACGCUGGCGGCGUGCCUAAUACAUGCAAGUCGAGCGAACGGACGAGAAUCUUGCUUCUCUGAUGUGAGCGGCGGACGGGUGAGUAACGCGUGUAUAACCUACCUGUAAUACUGGGAUAACUUCGGAAAACCGGAUCUAAUACCGUAUGAUAUUUUGAACCGCAUUGGUCAAAAGUGAGAUACGGUCUUGCUGGCACUUAUAGAUGGAUCCGCGCUUCAUGAGCGAGUUGUUAAGGUAACGGCUUACGAAGGCAACGAUGCAUAGACGACAUGAGUGGGUGGUAGGCCACACUGGAACGGAGACACGGUCCAGACUAAUAAGGGAGGCAGCAGUAGGGAACCUUGAGCAAUGGGCGAAAGCUUGACGGAGCAACGCCGAGUGAGUGAUGAAGGUCUUCGGAUCGUAAAAAUCUGCUAUUAGGGAAGAACCUAUGUGUACGUAAAUGUGCACAUAUUGACGGUACCUAAUAAGAAAGCAACGGCUAACUACGUG